GACGAACGCUGGCUGCGUGCUUAACACAUGCAAGUCGAACGCUGAAGCCCGAAGCUUGCUUCGGGUGGAUGAGUGGCGAACGGGUGAGUAACACGUGAGUAACCUGCCCCUGAUUUCGGGAUAAGCCUGGGAAACUGGGUCUAAUACCGGAUACGACCGCCAGACGCAUGUCGGGUGGUGGAAAGUUUUUCGAUCGGGGAUGGGCUCGCGGCCUAUCAGCUUGUUGUGGGGGUAAGGGCCUACCAAGGCGACGACGGGUAGCCGGCCUGAGGGGGCGACCGGCCACACUGGGACUGAGACACGGCCCAGACUCCUACGGGAGGCAGCAGUGGGGAAUAUUGCACAAUGGGGGAAACCCUGAUGCAGCGACGCAGCGUGCGGGAUGACGGCCUUCGGGUUGUAAACCGCUUUCAGCAGGGAAGAAGCGAAAGUGACGGUACCUGCAGAGGAAGUACCGGCUAACUACGUGCCAGCAGCCGCCGUAA
rnacentral:rRNA from 1 species